AAAAUUAGUAAACAAAAACUGAACAAACUUUGUACACACCACUUUUGGGAUCAAAAUCGACUGUUUUCACUCUUUACCAGCAAAAAUGAGCUCUUCAAGAUGUUUUAUAGGGCGACCCAAGAUACAUAUUAUAGUCGACGACUGCUGCAAACUUAAAACACUUGGUGCUGAAAACUACAUAAAAUCACAAAUCCGCAGAAAACACCCUAGAGUUGCGAAGAGAAAAACUUAUGUUGCACCGGUACAUAAUAUCUGGGUAGAUAACCACGAUCACUUUUACAGCUUUUGCAGGAACUGUUUGCGCACAAAAAUACCUUUGCCCUACACUAAUAUCAAACUCUCUUUUGUGAAUGCAUGUACCGAGAAAGUUACUAAUUUUAUCCAUAAUCUCGCUUGGGGUUUAGAUGAGUUCUUGAACACUUCCCAGUACUUUCUUCAAAGUGUAUAUGAUUUCUAAACAUUGAGAAAUUUGGAAAUGCUAGAUGCGAACUAAAGUGAAACAUUUUUAUGGCACAAAGCAGUGAAACGUUCACAAAAUUUACAGUUGCAAUAUAAAUUCAAUUCAGCAGAAUAAUAAAAAUUUCGUUCCCUAAAGACAAAAAA